rnacentral:misc_RNA from 1 species
AACGCACGAGACCUGCGGACCUGCGGAAGGAUCAUUACAGGACUCGCAAGACUCCUAUAACCCUGUGAACUUACUACAAAGCACGUUGCUUCGGCGGGUGCCUCCGGGUGGUUUUCCUCCUGGAAGCGCUAAGCCCGCCGGCAGCCUACUAAAUUCUGUCUCUUUGCGUUGGCAUCUCGAGUACAAACAAAUAAGUUAAAACUUUCAACAACGGAUCUCU